UCCCGGGCCCGGCGACGUCGACGUUCGCAAAUUGCAUCGUUACAACGGUCCGCCGCGAGGAUGACGUAUUAAAUUAAAUCGUCAUCAACGCGACGCGAGAACGCGGCCUGGGGCCGGACGGGCGGGUGUGCGGCGGCGAUGACGUCGAGAGGCCGCGAAAACAAUUGAUAACGAUGGCGCGCGCGAUAAAUACACGGGAACACGGCGGGCCAUCCGCGAUAACGGAUAGUGCAGCCGGCUAUCGGGCUCGGAUAGUUUGCCGCAGCGCGAGCGAGCGAGCAAGCGCGCACGUGUGCGUGCAAAUAUUAACUUUUGUCGUUCGAGCGUGCCGUUUAGAGACAACGUUUAUCUGAUAUCGACGAAUAAAUCAUCCGCGAGCAUUUCGAGCGGGCGCGCGCGCGCGCGAGCGAGCGGCCGGCGCCAACUUUUCCGCGCGAAAUUCGCUUCGGAUCGAUCGGCGAGAACGCGAGAGCGAGAGCGAGUGUGUGGAGUAUGUUAUCGUCCUGGGACGUUGUCCUCCGAGGACGUGAAAUGAUCCGGAAAAUUUAAUGAAGCAAAUUAAGCUCGGUUGUGUACGCAUGACACCGUGCAAAUUUUACGACUGUGACGUCGCCUCAGAUUAAACACGAUUAGACACGAAUAAGACUCGAUGUGAUUCUGAGAGCUCGCGCGCUACCUUCCUUCUGGGCGUUGGAUUUAUUUUCACAGAGGGAGAGAGAGAGAGAGAGAGAGAGAGAGAGAAGAUUAACUUCCGCCAUUUGAGGACGUGCUCUUUGAGGACGACGUUUAUCCAGUAUCGACGAAUAAAUCAUUCAUGCGCUCCCGCGCAUUUCGAGCGCUCGUUCGUUCGCGCAAGCUUUUCUCCCUCAUUACACAACGUGAGAAUGAGCGUGAAAUUUCCACGGAUCGCGGCAAGUGAGCGAGUAGCGCUUCUUAUUGAUCUAGGCUACACCCUUUGAGAACAUACAGUGAUUACAAAACUCGACAUUGACUGACACAGAGAUUAAGUGACAACGACUACUACUACGACGACGACGAGGACGUAAAAUCGGGAUGGACAACAGGGUUAGAGGGAGAAAGAAACGAGGAAGAAAAAAAGAAAGUGUGAGAAGAGGGCCGAGGGAAAAAGGGAGGGAGAGAGGGAGGGAGACAAGACAGCGGAAAAAAGAGGAAGCCGGAGGCCGGCUUAGGACGCACCAGCAGGCUCGAGUAGAAUGGAAUUUUUAAUUAGGCUCUCGGGGACAAGCUGCCAUUUACCGAGCCGUGAUCUGGCCGAACGGGACGGUAAUAUCCUAGAGAAGGAUUGUGCUGGAGCGAGCGAGUAUCUUUCACGUGAUAUUUCUUCGGUGGCGAGCGCAAUCGAUCGAUACGCAAUACGUGUAUGCGAGCAGAGAUAAGGACACCACGGUUCGGCACUCCCGCAGUAUUUAAUGAUUCCAAACCCUCUCUACUGUGUACCUUCGAAUAAUAAUCUCCAGUUUUCCCAAUCGCGUCGAUACACGCGAGGAGGAAAAAGCGGAGAGCAUUCGCCGGAAAAAAAUCAACAAAGAAAACGAAAUAACUUGAAGCGCGUUCGCGUGCUUUGCACUUUGCUCAGACGGUCGAUACUCCACUUACCU